GGACCAACUGUCACUUGAACAAGAAGCCGUUCCUAACUUUGCCUGUUGCUCUUAUGAGGAACCAUUGCAUUUAUGGACUUUGGCAAGAAGGGUGCUUUCAUCAAUCUUUCUCAUCUCUUUCACCAAAAUGAGAACUAGAGGAAAAUGGAGGUCUCCUGGCAAUGGAUUACAAGAAGGAAUGCUGCCACUUUCAGGAACCCAAGAUCAAGGUGCUGGCAAGGCCGUACUCCCUCGGAAGGCUGUGGGGAAGGAUCCUUGCCUCUUCUGGCUUCUCAUGGUGCUCCUCGGUCUACAGCUGUGUGACUUCAACCUCUGCCUCUGUCAUCAUCUCCUUCCCUUCUUCCCUCUUUGUCCAUGUCCAAAUUUUCCUUCUCUUAUAAGGACAUCAGUCAUUGGAUUAAGGCCCAUCCACACCCAGCGGGACCUCAUGUUAACUUACUUAAUCUGCAAAGACCCUCUCUCCAAAUAAAGUCACACGCACACUUA